GUAGUUUUGUACAGUUUAGGUUUGACAUGCGAUCGCGCGUCGACAUCUGACGCUAUGGCACACUCGUGCCUUAUGUGCCACCGAAGCCCCGAAGUGGUCUGGCAUAUACCUUCACAUACAAUGCCUACGCCUAGCCACAGCAGCUCCCUCAUACAGACUCCGCAAGCCAAGAGGCCGUGGAGGCAAAUGCAGGCAGCCAGCACACCUCGAACAGCCACCUUGACUGCGGGUGUGUCACCCUAGUCGCCAAGGAAACAUUUGAGGGAAAGUGACAGGCAAUGUGAACAGCCACUUCUCCAUGUAAACAAUACUCUUUCUCUCGGAUGACUCCUACGCCUCGCCACGCCAGCACACUUGUGCACAAAGAUGCCGCAGAGGCACGUGUAGGUCAGAGGCAAGAAGCAGUGGCACUGGUGUCGACAUUUACCCAAUUUCUUUUUCUCACACUGAGGCAGCCAGCACACCUCGA